UACGGAGGGAGCUAGCGUUGUUCGGAAUUACUGGGCGUAAAGCGCACGUAGGCGGCUUUGUAAGUUAGAGGUGAAAGCCCGGGGCUCAACUCCGGAACUGCCUUUAAGACUGCAUCGCUUGAAUCCAGGAGAGGUGAGUGGAAUUCCGAGUGUAAAGGUGAAAUUCGUAGAUAUUCGGAAGAACACCAGUGGCGAAGGCGGCUCACUGGACUGGUAUUGACGCUGAGGUGCGAAAGCGUGGGGAGCAAACAGG
rnacentral:rRNA from 1 species